AGUGAACGCUGGCGGUAGGCCUAACACAUGCAAGUCGAACGGCAGCACAGUAAGAGCUUGCUCUUACGGGUGGCGAGUGGCGGACGGGUGAGGAAUACAUCGGAAUCUACUUUUUCGUGGGGGAUCACGUAGGGAAACUUACGCUAAUACCGCAUACGCCCUACGGGUGAAAGCAGGGGAUCUUCGGACCUUGCGCGAUUGAAUGAGCCGAUGUCGGAUUAGCUAGUUGGCGGGGUAAAGGCCCACCGAGGCGACGAUCCGUAGCUGGUCUGAGAGGAUGAUCAGCCACACUGGAACGGAGACACGGACCAGACUCCUACGGGAGGCAGCAGUGGGGAAUAUUGGACAAUGGGCGCAAGCCUGAUCCAGCCAGACCGCGUGGGUGAAGAAGGCCUUCGGGUUGUAAAGCCCUUUUGUUGGGAAAGAAAAGCAGCAGGUUAAUACCCCGCUGUUCUGACGGUACCCAAAGAAUAAGCACCGGCUAACUUCGUG
rnacentral:rRNA from 1 species